rnacentral:rRNA from 1 species
UCGUGUCGUGAGAUGUUGGGUUAAGUCCCGCAACGAGCGCAACCCUCACCUCUUGUUGCCAUCAGGUCAUGCUGGGCACUCUAGAGGAACUGCCCCGGUCAACGGGGAGGAAGGCGGGGAUGACGUCAAGUCAUCAUGCCCCUUACGUCCUGGGCUACACACGUGCUACAAUGGCCGGUACAAAGGGAUGCCACACCGCGAGGUAGAGCUAAACCCAAAAAGCCGGUCUAAGUUCGGAUUGGAGUCUGCAACUCGACUCCAUGAAGGAGGAAUCGCUAGUAAUCGC